UACGUAGGGUGCAAGCGUUGUCCGGAAUUAUUGGGCGUAAAGGGCGCGUAGGCGGCCUGGCAAGUGGAAGGUGAAACUCCCGUCGGCUAACCGAGGAACUGCCUCCCAAACUGCUUGGCUUGAGACCGGGAGAGGUGAGUGGAAUUCCCAGUGUAGCGGUGAAAUGCGUAGAUAUUGGGAGGAACACCAGUGGCGAAGGCGGCUCACUGGACCGGUACUGACGCUGAUGCGCGAAAGCGUGGGGAGCAAACGGGGAUUAAGAA
rnacentral:rRNA from 1 species